rnacentral:miRNA from 1 species
GAGGAAAUCCUAUUUGGAUAUAUACAAUACCACCUGCUAAGUGCUACGUGCAGGUUGUGUUAUCAUUGAUCGACUCUAUGGCUCUCAU